AGGACGAACGCUGGCGGCGUGCCUAAUACAUGCAAGUCGAACGCGCUCCAUUCGGUAGCAAUACUGAUGAAGAGCGAGUGGCGAACGGGUGAGUAGCACGUGAGCAACCUGCCCCGAAGACUGGGACAACACCGGGAAACCGGUGCUAAUACCGGAUAUCCCUAUCGGACCGCAUGAUCCGAUAAGGAAAUGUUUUUCGCUUCGGGAGGGGCUCGCGGCCUAUCAGCUAGUUGGUGAGGUAACGGCUCACCAAGGCGUCGACGGGUAGC
rnacentral:rRNA from 1 species